AUUGAACGCUGGCGGCAGGCCUAACACAUGCAAGUCGAGGGGUAGAAGUUGCUUGCAACUUUGAGACCGGCGCACGGGUGCGUAACGCGUAUGCAAUCUGCCUUGUACUGAGGGAUAGCCCAGAGAAAUUUGGAUUAAUACCUCAUAGUAUUAUGGUGUGGCAUCACAUUAUAAUUAAAGUUCCAACGGUACAAGAUGAGCAUGCGUCCCAUUAGUUAGUUGGUAAGGUAACGGCUUACCAAGACGAUGAUGGGUAGGGGUCCUGAGAGGGAGAUCCCCCACACUGGUACUGAGACACGGACCAGACUCCUACGGGAGGCAGCAGUGCGGAAUAUUGGUCAAUGGGCGCAAGCCUGAACCAGCCAUGCCGCGUGCAGGAUGACGGUCCUAUGGAUUGUAAACUGCUUUUAUACGGGAAGAAACACUCCUACGUGUAGGAACUUGACGGUACCGUAAGAAUAAGGAUCGGCUAACUCCGUGCCAGCCGCCGCCGUAAAAC
rnacentral:rRNA from 1 species